GAUCUGAUGGUGUAAUGGUUAACACGCCUGCUUUAAUUAACACUAUAUUGGUAAAGUUCAGCAGGAGGUCCCGGUUCGAUUCCGGGUCAGGUCU